rnacentral:rRNA from 1 species
GAUGAACGCUGGCGGCGUGCCUAAUACAUGCAAGUCGAGCGAACGGACGAGAAGCUUGCUUCUCUGAUGUUAGCGGCGGACGGGUGAGUAACACGUGGAUAACCUACCUAUAAGACUGGGAUAACUUCGGGAAACCGGAGCUAAUACCGGAUAAUAUUUUGAACCGCAUGGUUCAAAAGUGAAAGACGGUCUUGCUGUCACUUAUCGAUGGAUCCGCGCUGCAUUAGCUAGUUGGUAAGGUAACGGCUUACCAAGGCAACGAUGCAUAGCCGACCUGAGAGGGGGAUCGCCCACACUGGAACUGAGACACGGUCCAGACUACUAAGGGAGGCAGCAGUAGGGAAUCUGCCGCAAUGGGCGAAAGCCUGACGGAGCAACGCCGCGUGAGUGAUGAAGGUCUUCGGAUCGUAAAACUCUGUUAUUAGGGAAGAACAUAUUUGUAAGUAACUGUGCACAUCUUGACGGUACCUAAUCAGAAAGCCACGGCUAACUACGUG